rnacentral:lncRNA from 1 species
CAAGAAUGGAGCUCAUCACUCCGUGCCUUUACCAACUGGUUACAGAGCUGAGAGAGUUACAAAUGGAGAUAUUUCAGGAGCAGAGGUCUCCUCACACCCUCAAAUGACAGCUGGAGGGCCAGCAGUUUUCAUCCAAGUCAGGUAACCCCUUUGAGCUUCGUUUUCCUCUUCUGUCAACUGGAAAUUAUACCUUUUGCUUCUCUUACAGUUUAGAACACUUUCACCAAUAUUUACCUAUUUGAUUCUCACAGAC